rnacentral:lncRNA from 1 species
GAAUCAAGGUCAAGGUCAUGCUUGACUGGGACCCUAAGGGAAAAACAGGACCGAUGACACCAUUGCCUGAUGUUGUGAUCAUCCAUGCUCCUAAGGAAGAGAGUGUCCACCUCGCACCUGCUCAGGCUGUUACUCCUGCUGCUCUUGUACCGGAAGCAGCCCUCACAGCCGUAGACUACCCUGAGAUGAUCCCAGUCGCUUAAAAGGCUAGAAGAAACUCUUUUGUUACUACUUCCUUGGAAUGCUUCUUUUUUUGUUAUAACUUUUCUGCGACUCUUGAUGAUACUCGCUAGUUGUUUUUUCUUUUAUCCUCGAAGCAGACAAGUUUUUUACAUAAGUAAGAUUUUUGGUGGUUUAAUGCAUUCAGUUCUAUGAAAAUUUUUUGGUCCUAGUCAGAAAGUGUAAUGACUAUCUGUAUCUUAUCCGUCGAACUCUGGCUCGAUGGCAGAAUCUGAAGUCCGAACUAUUUCUUCUACGCCUCUUCAUCGACCGUACUGUAGUUAUUUGCAGACUAAACAUGAAAUUCAACUGAUGAGUGAUGUCAAUGCUUAGAGAUUUGACGAAAUCAUAGGCCAAAAUCAUAAUUUUUUAGCAGCCAAUAUGUAGUUGGAUCUACUUAUUUAUUGUGUUUACUCAUUUCUUCGUCAUUGGUUUCUCAAAUUCUCAGGCUUUUCUAUGCUAAAAUUGGAAUGGGAAAAAGCUACAAUAUUCAAAUAGACACAUGGAGUGAUAUUAUGUGGGUGAGAACUGCAUCCAAUGCAAGCAAUGCCCAAAAAGAAGCGAUCUUGGUGUAGACCUCUUAUUGUUAUUAUCGUCUUUUUGUUCGAGCCUUACGUUGUCCCAUAAUUUCUCUCAUUUGUUUGUGUUCUAUCCUAUAACACAAAUGAAUCAGUCACCGGAAAAAUUAAUAUCUUGUGACCAAGAUUUUUGCAAUCAUAGAAGAUGCAAUCCCGAGACAGGAGAAGCCUGACCUUUUUUGGGAGGUAACUUCAGAAAUUACUCACAAAUCUUGCAACUAUCACUAUGCUGUAUCAGAGUAGAUGACCUCAAAUUUAAUAUUCAAUAGAUUUUGAAACCCUUAUUUGCAGAUAUGGUCCUUGCAUGUAAGCUUGUUGUGUCUCUAUGAAAUCGAGAAAGAAGAAGCGAAUGCAAGUGUGGCUUUUACAAAAGAGUUUUUGUGAUUGGUAUAGUUACUACUCGCUAAUUAGUAUGUACAGAAAUUGGAUUGUGACAAAAUUAACAAGGGAGGAUUACUACACUAACCUUAGAAAGUAUUUUUAUUAUUUGUUUGGCAUAUUUUUAUUUUUUUUACAAAACUAACCUAGCAUACCCAAAACACCAUUUUUGCAUUUGUUAAAAAAAACCUAAUUACAAAAAUGCCAUUACUUUUUUAAUGCCACGUAGGCAGAUUAUAGCGCUGAAAAUUUGAUAAGUCUACCAGGCUUUGACGGUAGACUUAUCAAAUUUUGGUCAACGCAAAAAUUUUUUCGGUAGAGUUAUUAGGUCGAUGGUAGAUUUAUUCGAGAGUUGGUAGAGUUUACAAAUGUUGGUAGACUUAUAUUGGUAGAGUUUUGACGAUGAGAGGUAGAUUUAUUAUGUUUCGGUAGAUUUGUUGUUAUGAAUGGUAGACUUGUCAAAUUUAUGUGUCAAUACGUGAUGGUAGAUAUAUCUGUUUUAUGGUAGAGUUAUAUCUUGUUGGUAGAUUUUUCGCUUUUGUGGUAGAGAUGUUUGUUUUGUGGUAGAUUUAAAUUCAAGUAAAAUUCAUUCCAGUGAGUGGUAGAUUAUUUGUUACAUGAGGUAGACUUACAGAAUGUUGGUAGAUUUAUUUGUUUUGUGGUAGAUAUGUUUAUUUUGUGGUAGAUUUAAAUUCAAGUAAAAUUUAUUCCAGUGAGUGGUAGAUUAUUUGUUACAUGAGGUAGACUUACAGAAUAUUGGUAGAUAUGUUUGUUUGUUUGGUAGAGUUUAUGUAAUCUGGUAGAGUUAUCGUACGUAUGGUAGACUUCUUAUAAUAAUCAUGUGGUAGAUUAAUUAAGUUUGGUAUUUACAAAGAUAACCUCGAUCUGGUAGACAUAUGAGGUGCUUAUGGUAGACUUGUAUAUAUGGUAGAGUUAUUUUUCAUGCUUGAGGUAGACUUAGUUGUUAAUGUUUGGCAGACAUUUGACUUUAUGGAUUGAAAUUACUUUUUUGUCCUAAAAGUAUUGUCCUAUCUACGAAAAAACCAGAGGUGUGGUAGACUUGUUUUGAAGUGUCGUAUGUUAAACAAGUUUCGUACAUAUGGUAGACUUGUUCCAUGGUUAUAUUUGAGUUGGUUUUGUUACCAUUAACGUUUUCUUUGCAUGAGUUUGCUAAGAUUAUGUCGGUUAACUGUGAUUCGAUCACAGAUGAUUAUUGGUAUUUACGAUAUAGAUGCCAUAAUCAAUGGUCAAAAAUUUCUAACAUGAAUAUUUUUUCUAUGAUAUAUAUUUUCUCUAAGAUAACUUUGCUUUUCAUAUUAACUUUGAACAUAUAUGUCAUAUCUGUAAUAACCAUCUCUCAACUUAUGAUUUUUUUUUUUAUUUUUUUUUUUGAAUAAUUGUUACAUUUAACUCUAUUUACAUAAACUCUUACAACAUCACAAUGUCAAAUGAUUUUAGUCAUGUGUUUUGAUUAAAAUUUUAUUCAGUUAUGAUAUACAUCAUAGUGAAAGUAAAAAAAUAAAUUAAAUUGAAUAAUAACAUUACUAGCAAAUAUGGUAAAAAUGUGAAAAUGUCUGGGUCAAUGUUUUACGACAAAUAUAAUUUGAAAACAACAAUAUUAUCAUUUAAAAUCUAAUUAUCAUUUUUACAAAUUCAAAAUACAGAUAUACCAUCAAUUUAAUAAUAAAUCUACCAUUAUUUCAAAACAAAUCUACCAAAUGCAAAUCUACAAUUCAUAGUAAAACAUGUCGGAUCGAUGCUGGAUAUCCCAUCAAAGAUUUGUUCACCAUGGCAAAGCCCAUAAUCUGUCAGAAAAAAAUAAACAAAUACUGUCAUUCGUAUAUAAAAUUCAAAUAUAUACGCCUGAUAAAUCUACCAUAAAUAACUAAUAAAUCUACCAAACACAAAUCAUUUUUCAAAUAAAUUACCAAUGACUAAUAAAUCUACCAAACCACAUCGUUUUACAAAUAAGUCUAUCAUUAGAUGACUAAUAAAUCUACCAAAUGACAUCGUUUUUACUCUAAAAUAAUUUUACCAUCAAAUAACUAAUAAAUCUACCAAACCAUAUUUCUUUUUCUAAAUAUCUACCAUCAAAUAGCUAAUAAUCUACCAAACUACAUAUCAUUUUUCAAAAAAAUCUACUAUCACAUAUUAUGAACUUUACAACAAAAAAUACAAUAAAUCUACCAAACUACUUAUCGUUUUCCAAAUAUAUCUACCAAACUUACCUGAAACAAAAAAAAAUUAGGGUUGCGGGUUUUACAGAAAAAAACUUACGCCGCCGUCAACCUCCGGGACACCACCAUUUCUUCGAAACAACAUCUGUCCAGUGCGGUUGUGCGCGAUGCGGCGAGAACGCCGCUUAAGAGUCGUGCCAAUAUUUCCGAGAUCUCUAACACCAACAGUAAAACUCCUCCUCCGCCAAACAGAAUGUAGAAGAUGAAGGGAAAGAGGAAGACGAAGAAGAAAGAAGAAAAAAUAAGAAAAAUGAGGAUAUAUGAGAAAAAAAACAAACCUGAACAAGUUUUUGAACGGCGAUUGAGACAAGAUCUGUGUGGAUCUGUGAAACAAAAGGAAAGCUGUGAAGAGAAAGCUGCGAAAAAAGGAAGCUGCGAAAAAAGGAAGCUGCCAAGUUAUGAAGAAGAGCAGCUCCAUGGGAGAAAAAAAAACGGCGCAGGAGAAAGAGAGAGAGAAGAAGAUGAAUUAGGAUUUUUUUCGAAAUUAAAAUUUUUCCGAAAAAAAAAUUUAUAAAAAAAAUCGUAAUAGCAUUUUCGUAAUAAUAUUCAACAUCUGGAUAAAUGGACUUAAACCAACUUUAUAAGGUUAGUCUAGUAAACCCUUCAAUAUGUUAGGUUAGAUUUAUCAUUUCAUUAACCUUAAAAGUUAGUCUAAGGAAUUUUCACAAUUAACAACACAUUGCUCUGUCGUCUCAGUAUAAAGAGCUACAACAUCAAAAUCGUUCUUAUUCUUUGAUAAUGUGUUACAUCUCCAUUAACACUGAUGACUCUCGAAGCCCAUUAACUGACAAAAGAAAAGGCCCAUUCAAAUCCAUUGGCCCACACCACUGAUCUGAGUUUUUGACCUAGGUAUAAAUAAACUGAUAACGCACAAGACGCUUCCCCAUUCCCUCGAGAUUACUGCUGCUUCUUCUCAAACUUUAGGGUUUCAGUGAUCGGCAGAUUUUCGUAUCCACAACAUGGCGACUCAGAUUAGCAAGAAGAGAAAGGUGAAUUGUAAUUCCUUCUUCUUCCAAAAUGGAUCUCUUUCGCUGCAUUUCAGUAACUGUGUUGCCUUUUAUAGUUUGUAGCCGACGGUGUAUUCUACGCCGAGUUGAAUGAGGUUCUCACCAGAGAGCUUGCAGAGGAUGGUUAUUCAGGUGUGGAGGUUAGGGUUACUCCAAUGAGGACUGAGAUUAUUAUCAGAGCCACCCGUACUCAGAACGUUCUCGGUAUGUUUAAUCUCGUCUUCAUUUUGGGAUUUGAAAUCAAAGUUUCAUUUUGGAAUUUGAAAUCAAAGUUUCUUGAUUUGAUAAGAGUAGUUAAUGGGUCUGCUGGAUAUAGGUGAGAAGGGGAGGAGAAUCAGAGAAUUGACAUCGCUUGUUCAGAAAAGAUUCAGAUUUCCUCAAGACAGUGUCGAGCUCUAUGCUGAGAAGGUCAACAACAGAGGUCUCUGUGCCAUUGCUCAGGCUGAGUCUCUCCGUUACAAGCUCCUCGGUGGACUUGCUGUUCGUAGGUUAGUCUGCGAUAUUUCUUAGUUGGAUUUAAUUCAUCAAAAGUUUGGAUUUUGUUAGCUUGCGGCUCAUAUAGGCAUUCACCAAGCCUAAUAGUUAUAUGUAUGAGAUGUCAUUGUAAAUGUUUCCUUGCCUUCAUAGAGAGUGUGACCAUUUCUCUAUGUUUUUGUGUCGUCACCAUUUAUCUUGCUUAUAUUAUGCUGAUUUUACGAGUGGAGGUUGGGCUAGGUCUUGUUAAAUUUUGUGAAGCUGCUUUUUUAAUUGAAGCUCUUAUCUCAGGAUCUUUACAUUGCUAUUGUAUUGUGUUGUAUAGGGCUUGCUAUGGUGUCUUGAGAUUCGUCAUGGAGAGUGGAGCUAAGGGAUGUGAGGUGAAUACAAAUUCCUGUUUUUUUCUCUCUGCAAGAUAUCUCGGACGUUUUUCAUAUUAUGUUACUAAAAUUCUUGUUUGCAGGUCAUUGUGAGUGGAAAGCUCCGUGCUCAACGUGCGAAGUCAAUGAAAUUCAAGGAUGGUUACAUGGUUUCCUCUGGUCAACCUACCAAGGAGUACAUUGACUCUGCCGUUAGACAUGUCUUGCUUAGACAGGUGUGUUUCUUCUUCUUCUUCUGCUUCUGAGUUCCUCUUUUUCAUGUUAGUAAACUCGGCAAUGUCUAACCUGAGACUGGUUAAACCAAAAUGUGCAGGGUGUGCUUGGAAUCAAGGUCAAGGUCAUGCUUGACUGGGACCCUAAGGGUAAAACAGGACCAAUGACACCAUUGCCUGAUGUUGUGAUCAUCCAUGCUCCUAAGGAAGAAAGUAUCAACCUAGCGCCUGCUCAGGCUGUUACUCCUGCUGCUCUCGUACCGGAAGCAGCCCUCACAGCCGUAGAUUACCCUGAGAUGAUCCCAGUCGCCUAGAAGAAACUUGUUUGUUACUCCUUCCAUGGGAUGAUGCUUCUUUUUUUGCUAAAACUU